GGGGUUGUAACUCAGUGGUAGAGCACAUGCCUCGCACGCAUGAGGCACUGGGUUAGAUCCUUGGCACCCCA
rnacentral:tRNA from 1 species